CAGGCAGAGAUGGUGGGAGACGAAGGCACGGAGACCCACUGAGCAAAGGCUCAGUGCUUGAGAGGGUGCAGAGUGUUCAAAGACUGCGGGUAGCCCCACAUGACAGAAGGGAGUUGAGACCGUGCCGUCUGGCAGGGACUUUACGUGCGGCGACAAAGGGAUCCGUUUAUCCACAGGAAACAGGAAGUCAGUGAUGGUGGCGAUGGCACGAGCCCAUGAAAGGAGGGGCGAUGAGAGACAUCAAGGAGGGUCCAGUCCAAGCAUCUCAUUGAGAGAGAAGAAAACUAAAAGGGCAGCGAAGAAAAGUGUCUCGGUCCAUUUGAGCUGCUACAACAAAAA